rnacentral:rRNA from 1 species
CUGCGUGUAUGGUUAGUGGCAGACGGGUGAGUAAUGCAUAGGAAUCUGCCUAGUAGUAUAGGAUAGCCACUAGAAAUGGUGGGUAAUACUGUAUAAUCCCUGCGGGGGAAAGAUUUAUCGCUACUAGAUGAGCCUAUGUCAGAUUAGCUAGUUGGUGGGGUAAUGGCCCACCAAGGCUGUGAUCUGUAGCUGGUCUGAGAGGAUGAUCAGCCACACUGGAACUGAGACACGGUCCAGACUCCUACGGGAGGCAGCUGUGGGGAAUAUUGGACAAUGGGCGCAAGCCUGAUCCAGCUAUGCCGCGUGAGUGAGGAAGGCCUUAGGGUUGUAAAACUCUUACA